UGCAGUCGAACGAAGUAGCAAUACUUAGUGGCGAACGGGUGAGUAUAAUAUGGAUAUCUGCCUUUUGGUUUGGAAUAACACGGGGAAACUUGUGCUAAUACCAAAUAAGCCUUUACAGGGAAAGCUUUAGCGCCAAAAGAUGAGUCCAUACUUGAUUAGCUUGUUGGUAAGGUAAUGGCUUACCAAGGCUACAAUCAAUAGCUGAUCUGAGAGGAUGAUCAGCCACAUUGGGACUGAGACACGGCCCAAACUCCUACGGGGGGCAGCAGUGGGGAAUCUUGCACAAUGGGGGAAACCCUGAUGCAGCGAUGCCGCGUGAGUGAAGAAGGCCUUUGGGUUGUAAAGCUCUUUCGUCGGGGAAGAAAAUGACUGUACCCGAAUAAGAAGGUCCGGCUAACUUCGUGCCAGCAGCCGCGGUAAUACGAAGGGACCUAGCGUAGUUCGGAAUUACUGGGCUUAAAGAGCUCGUAGGUGGUUAAGAAAGUUGGUGGUGAAAUCCCAAGGCUUAACCUUGGAACUGCCGCCAAAACUUUUUGACUAGAGUAUGAUAGAGGUAAGUGGAAUUUCUAGUGUAGAGGUGAAAUUCGUAGAUAUUAGAAAGAACACCAAUUGCGAAGGCAACUUUCUGGAUCAUUACUGACACUGAGGAGCGAAAGCAUGGGUAGCGAAGAGGAUUAGAUACCCUCGUAGUCCAUGCUGUAAACGAUGUGUGCUAGACGUUGGAAACUUAGUUUUCAGUGUCGCAGCAAAAGCGUUAAGCACACC
rnacentral:rRNA from 1 species